AAGCCAGAAGUCCAAAAUCAAGGCAGCGGCGAGAGCAGGCUCCCUCCGGAGGCUCCGGCAGAGAUCCUCGCGUCCUCCAGCCCUCGUGCUGCCAGCGCUCCAGCCUCUGUGUCCGGCCUCCCACCGGCUUCUCUUGGUCUCAGUCCCCCUCUGCUCGUCUCUGAGGGUGCACCUGCCAUCGGAUUGAGGGCCCACACAGGUACUCCAGGAUUAUCUUCUGGUCUUAGGACUUCCUCACUUAAUCCCGUCUUCAAGACCCUUUUUCCAAGUAUGGUACCGUCACAGGUUUGGGGGGUUGGAUGUGGACCAUCUCCUGACCUAUUAUCUUCUUGAACAGAGACCCCCAUCCUGCUCUUCCACAGGUAUUAUUUACGUUUUACCUUCACAGAGAUCCUCCGAGGAGUACAUUUUACCCCGGUUUACUCAGGAGGCCCUGAGGCUCAUAGAGGUUGUGUAACUCUCUGGAAAGAAUCAGCACAAGCGUCAGGAUUUGCUCUCUGGGUUUAAAGCUCUCGCUCUCACCCGUCGGCUUGCUCCCUGAACCCCAGCCAUCCGUCUGGGCUCAGAGAUGCCCACACUCCGAGGAGCGCCCAGAGAUGCCCCCCUGGACCAGCUGCAGUGGGUGGUUAGUGGGCAUCCUUUCUGGGCAACAUGAAUCAUCAGCAACCUUUUCAGGGUAAUAACGGGAUACCGGGAGGAGAAAGCCCCAAGAUCAGCAGCCACCUCUGGAGAGGGAGAAUGAGCGGCCUUGUCCUGGGGACUUGCCUAUGACAGUCAGGGGCAGGCCAAGCCUGGCCUUUCCAUCACUGCUGCUCCGGGGAGCCCCUCCCCCCCUCCCCCAGCCACCUGCCUCCCUCACUAGCCCCUCAGGGGAUACUGUGCCGGGUGACCUGUGCGCCAGCAUGCUGCGAGGAUGGGAACAGAAUGACGACAAGAAGGGGCUUGUCUGACCCUGUUUGAUGCGGUGGAUGGAGUCGGUUAAGGGCACAGGCGUGAGACCCGUCCAUCCUUAGCAGUGGAAGUCCCACCAUAUGCCACAGAGAAGAAUGGGAGCCACUCAUUUAACAACCUCAGUAAAACCCCUUUCCCCCUCCUUUUGUAAUUGUUUUAUUGACUCAUAAUUUACACACAAGGAACUGUGUAUCUUUCAAGUGAGACUCUGGUUAUAUUCUGAUGCAUGCAUACAUCUGUAAAGCCGUCGCCACAAUCAAGAUAAUGAAUAUAAUAUAUACAUCACUCUCCAGAAGUCUCCCUGUGCCUCUGUGUCAUCAAUUUCCUCGUCCUCACUCGCCCUGCCAUUUCCAGGCAAUCACCGAUCUGCCCUCCACCACCAUGGAUUUGUUUGCAUUUUCUAGAGCAUAAACUGUACAGGAGGGACUGUUUCCUGUAUGGCUCCUCCCACUCAGCAUGGUCAUUGGGCGAUUCGACCGUGACUUAUCAUGUAUCCGCGGUUCGUUCUUUGCACCGAUGGCUAGCAUUCCACCUCGUGGCUGUUUUGCGGUUUGUCUAUCCAUUCACCUGUGGACGGAGCUCUUCUGGUUUCGGACAGUUGUGAACAAAAGGUGUUCCGCACAUGUGCAUAAGAGUCCUCGUAUGGACGCGUGCUUUCUUUGCUCUUGGAAGGGUGGAUCGUAUGGUGGGUGUGUGCUUGCUUUCAGAAACCAGCAAACGCUUCUGAAGCGUGUGAACCAACGUCACGUUCCCACCGGCCGUGCGCGCGAUUUCCUGUUGCCCCACGUCCUCACGGAGCUCGGUAUGGCCAGUCUCGUUCUCGGCCAAGCUAACAAGUCGGUUGGCAUCUCUGAGCCUUUAAUUGGCGUGCCCCGUGUCUGGUAACGUUGAGCAUCUCCCUGUGUGCCUUUUGCCGUCCCUACGUCUUCUUGGGUGAGACGUCUGCUCACAUCCUUUGCCCCUUUUUAAUUGGGCUGUUUAUCUUCUUCCCAUUGCGUUUUGAGAAUCCUUCACAUAUUCCAGAUAUGUCUUUUAGCAGAUGUACGAUCUGUGGAUAUUUUUUUUUCCUCUCAGCCUUUGUUUUGCCUUUUCAUCCCCAUUAACUGUGCAUACCUCUCAAAGAGCAGACCGUGUUAUUGAUGUUGUAUCUGAGACAUCUUGGCCUGGCCCGGAGUCCGGAAAAUCUUCAUCGGCCCCGAGCUGGGGCACCUGUGGGGCCAGCCACAUGUGCCUCUCACUUCUCAGGGAUCCAAGUCCUUCUCUGUCUGGUGCCCAGUGCCUUAAAAACCAUUGUUUAGUGCAUUCAGUCUGUUUUUUGCUGCUGUUUGGGCAGAAGGCUACAUCUGAUCCCUGCUACCCCAUCCUGACCUGAAGCCCUGCUGGACUUUUAAGGCAGACACGAUUUUGUUCAUAACGUCACCCAUUUCUUGCUUGAGGACGGGUAGAACCAGGAUGGAAGCCGAGGGCUGCCCGAGUCCAAAGCCUGGGGCCACGGACCUGGGGCUCAGACUUCUGGGACCAGAACCGGUUCCAUUCCCACUUGCUGCCGGAAAUUCCAGAGUCGGGGACACGUCUAGGAUCUGGGGUUGGUCAGGCAGCAGGCUCUCACUUAGCAUCACGACUCCAAAAUAACCUCUCUGAGCUCUAGCUGUCUAAUCUGCUGUCUAAUCUGUCCAAAACGUUCAUUCUGACUUGACUUGCUCUGUAAAGGGUGCCAUAAAAUGCAAUCACAGAACCGUAGGCUUUCCAGGACCCUGUAGGUGAUCGAGCCCAACCUUCCAUUCAAAACCACUUCCACGGCAGGAUUAGAAAUCUACAAAGAGCUCGCCGCCACUUACCCUUCCUGUGUCCAUUGCAGACAUCACUAAUCAAUGGUGGAACUGCUUCCUGCUCAGCUAGACUUCACUCCCAGAUCCAAUGGUCUUUUAAUCCAGUGUGCAAAGCGCCCACCGCCAGUUGAUUGGAUUGGCACAUGGAACGAAGCCCGUUCACACCCCAGAGCUCCCAAGCACUCUGGUCAGAUGGCCCCCCCUGGCCAAUGCAAAUGCACCCCUCGUUUGCCCAAGCCCUUUACUACCUCCAAAGGUAGUCAGUUCCAUCCCCAUCCAGCUGUAAAGUCCACGCGUGACAAACGAAUCCACUGUCCAGUCGGCACGAUUCCUUUACCUUAAGCCGUGUGUGCUGGGGACUCAGAGACCAGACAUCACACCUUCUAGAAAAACUGAAGUCCUUCAGAUACGACGUGAGGAUGACGGCCACGUCCCCUGUUCACCUGAGGAGGUAUGUCCAGUUCCAGCCACGUGACUGUGGCCCUUUACAGCCCACUUUCCCUUAUUUUCAGACACUUUCGUUUGCCAGCAUCCUCCCUUUCAAAACGAGUUUGAAAAACACCCGGGGUUGGAUCUGAUGACCGCGCAGAAGAGGAAAAGUCUUGGUCUCAACAUUGUACGUUUGUUAACAUAGGAGCCAGCUGGUCCCCAAACUCCCAGGACGCGGUGACUUCCUCAGCUCCGGAUGGACAGCUUCGCGGGACUCCAGGGACCCGCAGCAUCUGCUUGGGAUCAUUAGUCAUCUGAAUCCUCACCCAGCCCAGGUGGGGCAGAGGGCAGGCUGCGCUCACCUGUGUGUCUCCAAGGACCUUUAGGACCUGUGCGGUUGGGGGGGUCAGGUCUGCAGGCGGGAGGCCCUCUGGUACUGAGCCAAAUGGUCAAUCCAGGUCUGACGGGGAUGGAGGCAGAGCUGUGGGCCGUCUUGCUCCGUUUCAUGUCAACCCGAUGACUACAGACCUCCUGCCCCCACAGCGUACAGACCUAGGGUGCGGACAUCCCCGGGGAACAGGAGCAUGGGCGUGGGGAAUGCGGAGGAAGGAGCUGACAGACGUCCGUCACCAGGGUGAACGGUUACCUCUGGGGCAGAACUCUGCCAACAUCAACAACUGUGUUACCGGCGCCCAGCUCUUCCCGCGUGGACCAGGGGGUUGAUCUUGGCAAUUAUUGGUGGGGGCGGGUUUACUUUUUUUUUUUUUAAGUAUUCUCGACACCCAACGUGGGGCUUGAACCCACAACCCUGAGAUCAAGAGUCGUAUGCUCCACUCACUGAGCCAGCCAGGUGCCCCUAGGUUUGCUUUUAACAAUGGUAAUAGUUGCCCUGACUUAGAAAUUACUGGGUGCCCACUCCUCUCCAUAAGCUUAUCCUCCUACUCAUUCAAUAAGCCUGCUUUGAGUGCCUACUAUUUGCUAGGUUCGCUUUUUAGUGCUGGAGACCACGGCCGGUUUGGGAAGCUUACAUUCUAGAAGGGGGUCUCAUAUGCUAUCUCUUUCUGCUAUGUUCUAGCGGAAGGAGUUAUAUAUAUUAUUGUCGACUAUAUAUUUAUACUCACGAUACUACAUCAAUCUAAUUAUAUUAAACUUUGUUACAUGGUA